ACUCCCACCGCGUCCCGGCCCCUGCCCCAGGCCGGAGGGCAGAGGAAGUGCCCGGCCCCUCCCGAGGCUCUGGGGCCGCAGUGGGCUCGGGGGUGGGAGACGAGGUCCAAGCGCCGGCGAGACCCCUGCCAGCCCGGGACCUGGGCUCGGAGGCUCCCUUCCGGAUUUCCAAAAUCUGCGGAGGCAGCAUUUGUUCCGCCUCUCCCCUCUAGAGUGUGGAGACAGGAGGACGUCUGUGUAGGGAAGCACGUCGUUGGCAGACUGCUGUUUUGCCGAUGUUUAUUUGUUAUGCCAUUAUGACUGUUAGGAUUUCUCACCUGGAGUGGCUUCCGCCAUAAGCGCCGGGAUCUGGAAGGACGGCACGUUUGACUUCUGUUGUCCCAACCUCACUUGCCAGCCCUUGGCACCGCCCCAGCUUGGAUCCUCAGGGCGCCUCUGUUAUUUUCAUUCAUUUUUUUUGAGGACUCCAGGGUUCAGGUUUCUUAACUCCUGGACCAAAGUUCGCCCCGCUCGUAGCACCCUGUCUCUCAUCCUUAGAGAUUCUGAAGUUUGGACUUGAGCUUUUGGGGCAGAGACUGAAUUGGGCCUUAUGCAACUCUUGCAAUACCGAUGACCUGCAAAGGACAGUAUGGAAGAGAUGAGCAUUAGAGUUUGGAUCCGGAUGGGGCCAGAAAUACCCUGAAUUAAGAGUGGGAAGGGGGGGCCCAUCAAAAUCAUUGAUCUUAAAAAUAAGUAAGGCCUGUGGGGUGAAAUUUGAAAUAAAGCAGAAAGAUAAGCUUCUUUGAUUAUUAUAUAACUUAAAAAAGUGUUUAUCAGCUUUGAAUACCCCCAAGAUGGUCACAGCAUUAAGCCAGUUAUGGGUCAUUCGUACAUAAGUGUGAAAUUAGUCACUCAGCUUUAACAGCUGGAUGAAAAAUAGGGUAGAGCCUAGGAUGAGGGAAUACCAGGUCUGAGUAGGUCUUCCUCCCAGAAAGGUCUCUGAGCAGGAGAAGGCAUCAUAAUGUCUGGGCAUUGGGGAGUGAAUAAUUAGGGGGCACACAAGAAGGGAUGAAAGACACCAAAAGCAAGCUUACUCGGUUUCUUAGUUUUGCUUAAGACAGUUUCAAAUAGAUGGCUCCCAGCUCCGCUGUCUACUUUCCUGUACUAAAUUCUUGUUGGAAACUCAGGGUAAUGAUGAACUAAUGAACACACUAUUUUCUUGAUUCACUAUCCAGUCGGUGAGCCUGCACCCCCGGCUUGAACAAUUCUCUAUGCAGAAAAAUCAUGAACUAUAGAAUGCUCAAUAUAUAGAGUAUGGGGAAAAACUAUCCAUCUCCAUGUUAAAAAGAACGUGAUGGAACCAGGUGAUUUAGGGUGUUCCAUAGACCCAGUCUUAAACGACAAUGAAUUACAUUGCAAGACAGUUAUUCCCCUUUCACUUUUCUUUAAGUCUUUCUGGAAAGUCCUUUGUGUUAACAUGUUAGCAUUUUUUAAUCUAUAUUUUUAACAGAAUGCAGGUACAGACUCUAAAAGUUCUUGAAGUUUUAGCAUCUAACUAGAAUUUAAUACAAUUAUCUUCCAUUUAUGGUAAAUGAUACUUUUUCAGUUGACAUUCUGAUAUAAACUUUGUUUCAUCUGCUUGUUCUGUGCUAGUCUAGGACACUGAGGCCUUGAGAGGUUAAGUUACUUGACUAAGAAAAUUAAUAUCUUUAAAAACCUUUCCUUUAGCCUCUCUUGACCAGAAAGAACCAGAAACUAUGGAUCCCUGAAAAAGUAUCAGAUUUCAGUGGCUCACAUGUUUAUAGCAGCCUUACUCACAAUGGCCUAUAUUAUUCCUGCUUCUCAUCCACUGCUUCCCCGUGGCUGCUGUAACGAAAUGGCGUUUGUAAGUAGCUGAACAAACAGUCCAGAACUCAUAGGACAAGUAUGAGGAAAUCGAGGCUUAGAGAAGGUGAGUAGCUUGCUCAAGAUCACCUCACCAGUAAGUGAUGGAAGAGGUUUUCAAAUCCCUUAAUGUUGUUUCUCCUCCCCUGAAACAGGAUUUGUGAUCUGUUAAGUAAACCUGAAUUCUGACUGCAUCUCAGCUAACCUAUUACCCUACUCACUUGUUUUGUUUUGUUUGUUUUUUUUUGAGGCGGAAUCUCGCUCUUGUCACCCAGGCUGGAGUGCAAUGGCGCCAUCUUGGCUCAGUGCAACUUUUGCCUCCCAGGUUCAAGUGAUUCUCCUGCCCCACCCUCUUGAAUAGCUGGGAUUACAGACGUGCGCCACCAUGCCUGGCUAGAUUUUGUAUUUUUAGUAGAGAGGGGGGUUUCACCAUGCUGGUCAGGCUGGUCUCAGACUCCUGACCUCAGGUAAUUCACCCGUCUCGGCCUCCCAAAGUACUGGGAUUAUAGGCGUGAGCCACCGCGCCCGGCCUGUUUUGUACUGUUUAUUGGUUUUUGACCAUCUUCUAAUCAGUUCUGCAAUCUAGGGAAAUGCCAGAGGUCCACAGUGGCCCCACAGACAGGUCACUAACACUCUGGAAAGGGGUGGUGUAAACCAUGGGCUGAGCUUUAUGCUCAAUGAGGGAAUUUGAGUACACUGCACUCAGCAUAUUUAAUGUAUGAAUCUGUUAACCAAGGUUGUUAUCCAGGCUCCGCUGUUUCAAAUAUUUAGAAAGAUGACUGAGGGCCAGGUGCGGUGGCUCACACCUGUAAUCCCAGCACUUUGGGAGGCCGAGGUGGGUGGAUCACGAGGUCAGGAGAUCGAGACCAUCCUGGCUAACAUGGUGAAACCCCGUCUCUACUAAAAAAUACAAAAACAAUUAGCCAAGCGUGAUGGCGGGUGC
rnacentral:lncRNA from 10 species